rnacentral:rRNA from 1 species
UCCUCCCUCUUUCUUCGUGCUUAACACAUGCAAGUCGAACGGAAAGGCCCUGCUUUUGUGGGGUGCUCGAGUGGCGAACGGGUGAGUAACACGUGAGUAACCUGCCCUUGACUUUGGGAUAACGUCAGGAAACUGGGGCUAAUACCGGAUAGGAGCUCCUGCUGCAUGGUGGGGGUUGGAAAGUUUCGGCGGUUGGGGAUGGACUCGCGGCUUAUCAGCUUGUUGGUGGGGUAGUGGCUUACCGAGGCUUUGCCGGGUAGCCGGCCUGAGAGGGUGACCGGCCCAGUUAGGACUGGGCUACGGCCCAGACUACAAUGGGAGGCAACGGUGGGGAAUAUUGUAUAGUGCGCUGGAGCGUGAUGUAACACCGCCGCGUGCGGGAAGUCAGCAUGCGCGUUGGAAACCGCUUUUGCCUGUGACGAAGCGUGAAUGACGGUACUGGGUAAAGAAGCACCGGCUAACUACGUG